rnacentral:rRNA from 1 species
UACAGAGGGUGCAAGCGUUGUUCGGAAUUAUUGGGCGUAAAGGGCGCGUAGGCGGUGCGGUAAGUCCGCAGUGAAAUCUCUGGGCUCAACUCAGAGUCUGCUGUGGAAACUGCCGUGCUUGAGGACUGGAGAGGAGACUGGAAUUUACGGUGUAGCGGUGAAAUGCGUAGAUAUCGUAAGGAAGACCAGUGGCGAAGGCGGGUCUCUGGACAGUUCCUGACGCUGAGGCACGAAGGUCAGGGGAGCAAACGGG